CGACUGCUCGGCGGUAUAAAUUGUUUGAAUGUUCAAUGGUAUCGAGCCGCAUUUUUUUAUGCGUUCUUUAUGACUCGUCGGCAGGUGAGCCUCGCCUCGGAUUUACGGACCUGGUGCCGUUGUCGAGCGAGUCGUUUGCCGUUUUGCCGACGAUGUUCUCGGACGGGCUCUAUAAAGGCGCGCGUUCGCGCGCGCCUUUUGUUACCAGUCAGCGACGCUACUGCUUUGGGUACUUUCAGGACCCGUCUUGAAACACGGACCAAGGAGUCUAACAUGUGCGCGAGUCAUUGGGACUUGUUUAUAAUAAGCCUAAAGGCGCAAUGAAAGUGAAGGUCCGCUCUGAUGCGCGACCGAGGGAGGAUGGCUUCGAGAUUUGGAAUGAUUUUUUUUGUUUCUUUUUUCGAGGCUCGCACUCCCGGGGCGUCUCGUGCUCAUUGCGAGCUGAGGCGCACCCAGAGCGUACACGUUGGGACCCGAAAGAUGGUGAAC
rnacentral:rRNA from 1 species